UACGUAGGGGGCUAGCGUUGCUCGGAAUUACUGGGCGUAAAGGGCGCGUAGGCGGACAGUUUAGUCAGAAGUGAAAGCCCAGGGCUCAACCUUGGAACUGCCUUUGAUACUGACUGUCUUGAGUUCGGGAGAGGUGAGUGGAAUGCCGAGUGUAGAGGUGAAAUUCGUAGAUAUUCGGCGGAACACCAGUGGCGAAGGCGACUCACUGGCCCGAUACUGACGCUGAGGCGCGAAAGCGUGGGGAGCAAACAGG
rnacentral:rRNA from 1 species